rnacentral:rRNA from 1 species
UAGCUGGUCUGAGAGGAUGACCAGCCACACUGGAACUGAGACACGGUCCAGACUCCUACGGGAGGCAGCAGUGGGGAAUAUUGGACAAUGGGGGCAACCCUGAUCCAGCAAUGCCGCGUGUGUGAAGAAGGCCUGAGGGUUGUAAAGCACUUUCAGUGGGGAGGAGGGUUGAUAGGUUAAGAGCUAAUUAACUGGACGUUACCCACAGAAGAAGCACCGGCUAACUCCGUGCCAGCAGCCGCGGUAAUACGGAGGGUGCGAGCGUUAAUCGGAAUUACUGGGCGUAAAGGGUGCGUAGGKGUKAUUAAGUUAUCUGUAAAUUCCUGKGCUU